UCCUGGACCACUCCUGACUGAGGGUCGUAA
rnacentral:rRNA from 2 species